UACGUAGGGCGCAAGCGUUGUCCGGAAUUAUUGGGCGUAAAGAGCUCGUAGGCGGUUUGUCGCGUCUGCUGUGAAAACCUGAGGCUCAACCUCGGGCCUGCAGUCGAUACGGGCAAACUAGAGUUCGGUAGGGGAGGACUGGAAUUCCUGGUGUAGCGGUGGAAUGCGCAGAUAUCAGGAGGAACACCAAUGGCGAAGGCAGGUCUCUGGGCCGAAACUGACGCUGGAGGAGCGAAAGCGUGGGGAGCGAACAGGA
rnacentral:rRNA from 1 species